rnacentral:rRNA from 1 species
GAUGAACGCUGGCGGCGUGCCUAAUACAUGCAAGUCGAGCGAACGGACGAGAAGCUUGCUUCUCUGAUGUUAGCGGCGGACGGGUGAGUAACACGUGGAUAACCUACCUAUAAGACUGGUAUAACUUCGGGAAACCGGAUCUAACACCGGAUGAUAUUUUGCACCGCAUUGUUCAAAAGUGAGAUACGGUCUUGCUGUCACUUAUAGAUGGAUCCGCGCUGCAUUAGCUAGUUGGUAAGGUAACGGCUUUCCACGGCAACGAUGCAUAGCCGACCUGAGAGGGUGAUCGGCCACACGGGAACUGAGCCACGGUCCAGACUCCUACGGGAGGCAGCAGUAGGGAAUCUUACGCAAUGGGCGAAAGCAUGACGGAGCAACGCCGCGUGAGUGAUGAAGGUCUUCGGAUCGUAAAACUCUGUUAUUAGGGAAGAACAUAUGUGUAAGUAACUGUGCACAUCUUGACGGUACCUAAUCAGAAAGCCACGGCUAACUACGUG